UACGUAGGUGGCAAGCGUUGUCCGGAAUUAUUGGGCGUAAAGCGCGCGCAGGCGGUCCUUUAAGUCUGAUGUGAAAGCCCACGGCUUAACCGUGGAGGGUCAUUGGAAACUGGGGGACUUGAGUGCAGAAGAGGAAAGCGGAAUUCCACGUGUAGCGGUGAAAUGCGUAGAGAUGUGGAGGAACACCAGUGGCGAAGGCGGCUUUCUGGUCUGUAACUGACGCUGAGGCGCGAAAGCGUGGGUAGCAAACGGG
rnacentral:rRNA from 1 species